CAGGAGACAUGUGCUUUAUUUUCAACGAAAGAAGCUGGAGAGGAGCAGAGCCAUGUCCCACCUCAAUGCUGUUGGAUAUGCCAUACUGAUGCAGUCCAUGGAGACACAUUUGGUGACGAGGACAAGAGGUCCAAGACUUUAUGACAUCACAAAAAGAAAUCUGAUACUACCCGAUGUUGUACUACAAUUUGGACGUCCAAGGAACGACUAUUU